AUUGAACGCUGGCGGAAUGCUUUACACAUGCAAGUCGAGCGGCAGCGCGGGGGCAACCCUGGCGGCGAGCGGCGAACGGGUGAGUAACAUAUCGGAACGUACCCCGUCGUGGGGGAUAACACAGCGAAAGCUGUGCUCAUACCGCAUACGCCCUGAGGGUGAACGCGGGGGACCGCAAGGCCUCGCGCGAUGGGAGCGGCCGAUAUCGGAUGAGCUAGAUGGUGAGGUAAAGGCUCACCAAGGCGACGAUCCGUAGCUGGUCUGAGAGGACGACCAGCCACACUGGAACUGAGACACGUUCCAGACUCCUACGGGAGGCAGCAGUGGGGAAUUUUGGACAAUGGGGGCAACCCUGAUCCAGCCAUUCCGCGUGAGUGAAGAAGGCCUUCGGGUUGUAAAGCUCUUUCAGCAGGAACGAAACGGUGAGGGUUAAUACCCUUUACUAAUGACGGUACCUGAAGAAGAAGCACCGGCUAACUACGUGCCAGCAGCCGCCGUAAAAC
rnacentral:rRNA from 1 species